GUAAAGGCGUGCAGAGGUGGGCGGUAAAAGGUAGGGGGCAGGGGGGGUGCUGAUUCAUUUGGCGUAGAGGGCAGGCAGGGGGCGGCGUAAGGCGGACGGGAAAGGUCCUGGGUCAAGUGGGAGAGGGCGUUCGAAACUGCGCGGCUUGAGGUUGGAAGAGGAGAGCGGAAUUCCCGGUGUAGAGGUGAAAUUCGUAGAUAUCGGGAGGAACACCUGUGGCGAAGGCGGCUCUCUGGGCAGGUACUGACGCUGAGACGCGAAAGCGUGGGGAGCAAACAGGAUUAGAUACCCCGAGUAGUC
rnacentral:rRNA from 1 species